UGGGGAAUAUUGGGCAAUGGGCGCAAGCCUGACCCAGCAACGCCGCGUGAAGGAUGAAGGCCUUCGGGUUAUAAACUUCUUUGAUCAGGGACGAAACAAAUGACGGUACCUGAAGAACAAGCCACGGCUAACUACGUGCCAGCAGCCGCGGUAAUACGUAGGUGGCGAGCGUUAUCCGGAUUUACUGGGUGUAAAGGGCGUGUAGGCGGGUCUGCAAGUCGGAUGUGAAAUUCCCGGGCUUAACUCGGGCGGGUCAUCCGAAACGGCGGAUCUUGAGUACUGGAGAGGAUAGUGGAAUUCCUAGUGUAGCGGUAAAAUGCGGAGAUAGUAGGAGGAACACCAGUGGCGAAGGCGGCUAUCUGGACAGUAACUGACGCUGAGGCGCGAAAGCGUGGGGAGCAAACA
rnacentral:rRNA from 1 species